rnacentral:rRNA from 1 species
CGGGGUGCACCAGGCGCGAAAAAUUCACAAUGGGGGCAACCCCGAUGAGGGAAUUCCAAGUGCUAGCACUUUUUGUGUCAGCUGUUCUUUUGUCUAAAAAACAAGAGAAGUAAGGGCCGGGUAAGACGGGUGCCAGCCGCCGCGGUAAUAUCCGCGGCCCGAGUGGUGGUUGAUAUUAUUGAGCCUAAAACGUUUGUAGCCGGUCUCGUAAAUCCUUGGGUAAAUCGGCCAGCUUAACUGUUUGAAGUCCGGGGAGACUGCAAGAUUUGGGAUCUGGAGAGGUCAGAGGUACUUAUGGGGUAGGGGUAAAAUCCCGUAAUCCUAGAAGGAUCUCCCGGUGGGGAAGGUCGUCUGAGUAGAACGAAUUUGACGGUGAGGAAAGAAGUCCUGGGGCGCAAACGGGAUUAGAUACCCCGGUAGUCCAGGGUGUUAACGCUGCGGCCUUGGUGUUGGGGGUCCUUAGUGGGCGCCCAGUGCCGGAGAGAAGUUGUUAAGCCUGAUGUCUUGGGGAGUACGUCCGCAAGGAUGAAACUUAAAGGAAUCGGCGGGCGAGCAC